rnacentral:rRNA from 1 species
UACGUAGGGAGCAAGCGUUGUCCGGAAUCAUUGGGCGUAAAGCGCGCGUAGGCGGCCUUGUAAGUCCGUUGUGAAAGUCAAAGGCUCAACCUUUGAAAGCCGAUGGAUACUGUGGGGCUAGAGUACGGAAGAGGCGAGUGGAAUUCCUGGUGUAGCGGUGGAAUGCGCAGAUAUCAGGAGGAACACCAAUAGCGAAGGCAGCUCGCUGGGACGUUACUGACGCUGAGGAGCGAAAGCGUGGG